UAAAAAUAAAAAAUAAAAAAUCUAAGUGCCAUUUAUGGGCAAUUAUUGUCUAAAUAAGUAUGGAGGUAUAAUGUGAAGGAUGCUAAUUUAGUAUUAAAAACCAGCCACAUUCAUUUUUAGGGCUACGUCUCAUUUCAUCCACAUUAAAUUCAUAUCCCUGCUAAAACCACCAACAUUUUUUUUUUUUUGAAUUUUCGAGUUUCUACCUUGCAAAUGCUUACUUGAUCCAUUUUGUUCGAGGGUUAAAAUGUUUUAAAAUGGAAAUUUAUAAUCGGUUUUGGUAAAAAGGAAGAUGGGCUUCGAGGUUGGCCAUGAAUUUUUUCACAAGACUCGAUAAAUUUCACAAGAAAUCUUUCUAGUGGACACCAGUCCAACUUUGAUGCAGUCAUUCACGGCACACUAAAAUUGGCUACGAGCUAGAAUGAUCAAGUUGCAACCCAUAACUCAUUUUAUAGUAAGAUUGUUGUCUACCAGAUUGAGAUCUCAAAGAAUCUUUUUGAGCUAUAUUCUUGGCCAGAAGAUUGAGAUUUCAGUGAAUAUUUUUAGCUCUAUAUAUUUACCAUAUUUCCAUUUUGCCACAUUAGUUUUGCCAUUUGGAAUUAAAGAACAUAAAUAUAAGCCACCCUAUAUUUCAAAUACUAUAAUUGACCAAAGAUUGAUUCAAAUCCAACAAAAGGAGCUGAUAAAAUCUACAAAAUUAACAUUCUUGAAUUCCCCAACUAGUUUCCUAAAGCUUACCAAACAUUGAACGGUCUCAGUUGCUAAAAUAAGAUUGUCAUGAUGUUGAAAAAAAAACACUGAGAAGCACUAGCACCGCCAUGCCCCUAACCGCUGCCAAAAGCGGCUUUUGCAUAUUUCUUCUUCUUACAAAUAGGAAUUUGAGUUAGGGCUUCAAAUCCUUCGAUCAUCCAAGAGAUAUAUUUAAGUAAUGAGAGAGAGAGAGAGAGAGAGAGAGAGAGACCAAAAGGCAAUAUAUAUAAAUUUUUGUACUAUUUUUUUU
rnacentral:lncRNA from 1 species